UUAUUUAUUUUUUCUUGUUUGGCGGAAAAGACGUUUGUAGCUCAUUGUUUUGAAAUCGUAAAAACUUGGAUUUUGGUGGAGAGAAAUAGAUGCGUUACCAUAUCUUGCGUUUAAAAUAAAAAUAAAGAAAAGCACUUACAGAAUUUAGGAAAACAACUUUACCGUGACGAUACACUUUAAAGGCCAAGUUAUACUGGAGAAUGUCAAUAUUCCGCGUUCCAGUUUCUAGAUACAAGCAAUUUACCAACAUACCAAAAUUCUUCGGCACAAGACGUUUCACACAGAGGACCGUCCGGGCUGUCUCGGACUUUAUCGAUUUCAAACACGACAAAACUCUGUUUAAAACCGAGGCGUAUAACAUUACUCAAGCCAUUACUCGUAUGGUUGAGAGUAUCAUCAUACAAUCCUCUGAAAAAGAUCAUCGCUUUAAAAUCAGAUCUCUACAGUUGAUAGGAAGCAUGUAUGAAGAAACGAAGAUUUCGGUGCCCAACGAGUUCGACUUUUUCGCAGUCUUUGAUUAUGAUGUUAUUGGCGAACGAAUAUUUGGUUUAGAACCCGGGUGUCGGCCUGGUUUUACUAAAAUUCGUGUAAAGGAAAUUUCUAAAGACUGGUUAGACUGCUGCCAAGGACUGUAUCUGUCUCCACACAUUUGUAUGAGAAAAUUUGAAAGCAUGCUUCCAUCACAAAUAGCAGACAUCGAACCAAUCACCACACCAUCAGGAACAUUGCAUGGCUGGAAGAGGAGGAAGAGGACAUUCGAUUUGUAUUGGAAAGAUGCAGAUGGUUCUAAAAUUGACAUUGCAGUGGACAUUAUGCCGGCUUUUCCUGUGAUCUACAGAGAUCUUCCAACAACAUUGCGCGAGGCUUGCACGGACACCAGAAUGCACGAGAUAGGACCUAAUCAAGCUUGCUUCCUAAUUCCGAGGUCAUGUUAACAUUAUUACGAGGGGAAGUGUUGGCAUAAUUCAUUUGCGCAUGCGGAGAGUGAAUUGAUUAGAAAGAUGGACGCAGGAAAAAAGAAAUGCCACCGUGUUUUAAAACAGUUGUUUACCGAUGACUUAUUGGGCAAGUCUGGAUUUCUAACAUCCUAUGCACUGAAAUCUGCAAUAAUGUACAAGUCCAAGAAAGAGUUUAACAAUGAAUUAGAUUUUCUUUUGUACAUUUUCAUACAUUUUGCGAAGUGUUUUGAUCAAACUUGCAUGCCAACCUACUUUUUAACCAAAACAAACGUGUGGAAAAACAUCAUUGAACAUCGCACACAAAAUAUUUGGGACACAAAAUUCUUGUGCGAUUACCAUGUGAAGAGACAAAUUAUAGAGCAUAUUGACAAAGAUGAAUUCAAAGAUCCCUCUUGCUUCCCUGCGUGGAAUGUGGCAGUAAUCCUGGAAUUCUGGCGUCGGAUGAUGAUUCUGUUUAUAGUACUGUUCUGCAGAGCCGAGUCAUCCAUGGCUUUAGAUUUUGCUUUCAGUUUAAUAAAUGAUGUCCACUCCAAAAGUAACCAAUUUUAUAUGGAAAGGCUGAAAGACUGGAAGAUUAAUUGGCUGGUAGCAGCGCCUCAGUACGAAGUGCUAACGUUACGAGCAAAUCAUAGAAAGGUGAUAAGAGCUCUUGACAUUCCCGUAUACACUGAAUUAAUAGAUGAGUUGCAAAAAUAUAAACUUCUGGAUGUGAGGGCCUUGAACAGUUUGGUUUUAAAUAAUCAGUUUGCAUUUGAGGCAGGAAAUAAUACGUUUAUCAAUCUCGAUGUUCGUAGACACUCUAAUGUAUACAUACCACACACGUCCUCAUGUAAAAGCGAGGCCUUAUUAUUACGCCAGCUUUACACCAAUCGGUAGCAUUGCAAAAACUGUGAUACUAGUAUCAAUAGAAAUGCUGCAUUCUUAUAUAUGCAACAGAACGAGUGUUAAAUCAGUUACUGUAAACUGAAUCUUCUGCAAUGACCCUGAUCUCUAAAACAACUUCCAUUGCAAUGAAGACAAGGGGCACAUUCAAGGACCACGUCAACACGAUGAAUAUUGCAAAACGGCAACUACACAAAGUUUGAACCACAAAAUUCAAAGUCUGACACUUGCGAUUUCUGAAUAUGACAGGACGUCCUAUAUAGGGAACGGAACAUUAAACAAUAUUAAAUCCUGUGCAGUCAGAAUAUAGAUAAAUGGACAAAAUUAGGUGUCCAAAAUUAUGAUUUGUUAAAAAAAUAUGCAGAGAUGAAAUUCAGUUUUGAUUCAAGAUUCCUUUUUUGGAGAACAUCUUGCUUGUUAUUCUUUUCAUUGAAAGUAAUUAUGCAUGAACAGUAUUCUAAAUUUACAACCAGGUAAAGGAAUAAUGAACCUUAAUGAUAAUAAAGAAUAUUACUUUU
rnacentral:misc_RNA from 1 species